GGCAAUCCUCUCCGGUCCCCUUCCGGGCUGUGGGAGCUUUGUUCUUUUGCUCUUUGCAAUAAAUCUUGCUGCUGCUCGCUCUUUGGGUCCACAUUGCCUUUGUGAGCUGUAACACUCACGGCGAAGGUCUGCAGCUUCACUCCUAAAGCCAGAGAGACCACAAACCCACCGGGAGGAACGAACAACUCCAGACGCGCGGCCUUAAGAGCUGUAACACUCACCGCGAAAGUCUGCAGCUUCACUCCUAAAGCCAGCGAGACCACGAACCCACCAGGAGGAACGAACAAUUCCAGAUGCGCCGCCUUAGGAGCUGUAACACUCACCGCGAAGAUCUGCAGCUUCACUCCUGAGCCGGCGAGACCACGAACCCCACCAGAAGGAAGAAACUCCGGACACGCCGCCUUUAAGAACUAUAACACUCACGGCGAGGGUCCACGGCUUCAUUCUUGAAGUCAGUGAAACCAAGAACCCACCAAUUCCGGACACAGCAGGAUCCCACCCACAGAACCGCCAGGUGCACAGCUGCAUAUCCUCAGGGGAAAACUCCCCUCCCCUGCCACCUUACUGAUAGGCUUCACUUCCCAGAGAACUUUCCCAAUCCUGUGCAAUGCCUGAGUGGUACAUUGUAUUCUAUGAGAAUGGCGCCCCCGCCUCCAGAGUUGUGCAACAAGACUUCCAUGAAUCAAAGCCCAUCGCUGGCUGCCUCCUCUAGCCCUGCAUAGCCCAGGUACAUCUGAAAGGAGUGAGAAGUGUUUUGAGGGCUCUCCCUGUCUCUUCCUGCACCUCUCUCUUGUGAUCCCAGAAGCUACAACCUCAGCCCAGAUUAGCAGGCUGAGGGGUCAGGAGGCUGUCACUGGAGCUGUUGAGCUCAUGAACACGCCGAAGUUGCUGCGCUCCAGAAAUGUGGAAGUUGGAAUGAAGAGCCACCACUGCUGCCACCAACAUGAAGCUUGACCAAGCAAGCCAAGAAAAGAUGGCCAAGAGCCUCUGCCUUCCUUCUGCCUUCUGCAACGCAAUGAGAAGGCUACUUGGACCUAAAGGAAUGAAUUAGGAAGCGGUCUACUACCAAAGUACAAUGAAGGGCUCAAGGGCAGUGACUGCCCCACUCCACCACAGAGUGGGAGAGGGCUGGACCCCAGUGCCACUUUCGGCCACCCCUGGGCCACACGGCCACCCCUAUCCCUGGGACAGGGACUGCAGGGUCACACCCUCAAACAACCACGCCUCAGCCAUACUCGCGCCACACUUUCCAAGCCUGUCCCAGACCAGGGACAAGCCCCUAGUAGGGUUGGGGGAGGAGACUAGAACUAGAGAGGUGGGACACCAAGCAUGGGCACCCCUGCAACCUCGGCCACCCCCAGCAUGGCACCAUGCCCCUGAGCACCGCCAGCUUGGAAAGGCAUCGGAUGGAGACGGGCGCUUUUCGACGAGAUACCCGCCACUUGCUCUGGGAUCCCGGAGAGGGUGGGCAAGCGUGGACCAGGGAAGGAGGCCCCCAGGGGUGUUGGGAGGGAGUUUGAGAGGGAGGAAGUAAGAGAGACGGAUGGCAACGGAGACGCCAGGCAUGCGCGAGGGGGUGGACAAACCCUGUGUCCAGGGCUGACUUUGAAUAGAUGGCAGGGAGGGAGCUGCUCUGCUAUGUAUGAAACCACGACCUAAAAACUAAUUUCUGUAAGAUACACCAUAAAGGUAAAAAUAAUGCAAGUGUUCAGCUGACAGUAAGUAUAAAUGGUACUCAUUUUCAUUCUUAGCUGGUUCUGACCUUUAGCGAUCCAUAGAAAGUACAUUCAUGAAAAUAACCAGUUUUAAGCACACAAACAAUAAAAGCAUAUACACUUGAUAUAAAAUGGCCGUAAGUCAAGUAUUUUCAAAAUGUUUGAUUUCAGAACCUUUGAUGGUUCAUUAAGAUAGCAUAAAAACAACCUUCAGAAGAAAGGAAUAAGCUGAUAUACCCAGCAUCAUAUCUGAUGACACCUUACAACUCAAACAGGGCUUAGACAUUUUUAUCUUUUUUAAAAAUGCACUCUUAUAGCCUGGUGUGGUGGCUUAUGCCUGUAAUCCCAAUACUUUGGGAGGUCAAGGCAGGAAAACUGCUUCAGGCCAGCCUGGGCAACACAGCAAGACCCCACCUCUACAAAAAUUCUUUUAAAAAUUAGCCAGGCUUGGUGGCACAUGCCUUUCCUAGCUACUGGAGACGAUGACGGUGGAGGAUGGCUUGAACCCAGGAGCUCUAUGUUACAAUGAGCUAUGACUGCCCUGCCACUGAACUCUAGCCUGGGCCACAGAGUGAGAUACGGUUUCUAGAACAAACACAAAAAAGCACUGUGAAAUUUAUGAAAAUUUAUGUUUUAAUUUUGAAUGUUGUAUUUUAGUGACGGGCUUCUUUCAUAAAGUAGAACUACCAUGUUAAGUACCAACGAAGCUGAUAAAAUGAUGAGAGAUGUCGAUAAAUAUUUUUUAACUUAAAAGCCACUAAAUCAAACGUUUGCUUUUUAAAAUUUCAAGGGUGAUGGAAUUAAAGUGAUCAGAAUGUAUAAUAUGGACAUUUGCCCAGGCAAAAAAUGUUAUUAAAGCAAAACAUGAACCAGCCAUACAUGGAAAAGAAAGGGCAGAAAAAGACAAGACAGCAUACUGUAUUUUUCCUCUUAAAAUUCAAUGUUACAAUUAAAUGAUUGUUAUCUGAGAAUAAGUUAGCUUCAGCUUUCUAAUCGAUGUGUUCCCACAUCUACAAAUUGAUAUGAAAAAUUAUUUUGAAAUGCACACUGCAAAAUGGUGAGAAUAUGAAAGUUACCUGGGAAUUAAAUCAGAACUGUCUCCAUAUGACUAUUUCCAAGUCACAAUCAUAACUUUCUUAAUAGCAAUGGUUAUAUAUGUGGCCAGAUAGUAUUCAGUUUCACAGUAAUGUCUUGGUCACAUAAAGAUAGCAAAGCAUAGACAUAGUACAACAAUUUAUUAUUUCUGCUGAUUGCCAAAUGUGCAUAAAACUAUAAAGAUAUAUUUUCCAGCCCAGGUGACAGAGACCCUGUCUCCAAAAAAAAAAAAAAAAAAAAAUUUUGCAUGAGUAUAAUGAAUUUAAGAUGUCCAAACAUCAACAAAAAUGCUAACCUAAAAUUUGAAGCAUUUUAAUAAAAGUUUUUGGGGCCUAGAAUAAGAAAUAACAGAAUAAUAAUAUUAAGAAUAAGUAUCAGUUGUCAAGAUGUAUUUCCUGAUACAACAGCAAAAUUUGUGGUAAAUUCUGGCUUUUGCUAUAGAUACAGGUAUAGACACAGAUUGCCAGUGUUACAUGGAUUCUCAGCAUAAAACUAAAACUUCAAGAACUCUCUAAGUCCGUGUUUAUUAAUAGCAAUGACAACCAAUUAUCCAAUAUCUAAUGCUGUCAGGUAGCAAGCUACACAUUUGUAGAUAAUCAAACAAUUUACAGAUAAGGAAACAGUUCAGUGAAGUAAUAAGAUCAUGCAGCCUGUAGUAGGUGAGUGUACUGGGAAAGGAAGUCUGACACUUAAAACUCAUGCUUGCUCCUAAUUUCAUUUCAUUUCUUUUCUUUGGAGACAGGGUCUUGCCCUGUUGCCCAAGCUGGAGUGCAGUGGCGUGAUCACAACUCACUACAACCUCUGCCUCCCAGGUUCAAGAGAUCCGCUUGCUUCAGCCUCCCAAAGUGCUGGGAUUACAGGAGCAUGCCAGCACGCCAAGCUAAUUUUUGUAUUUUUAGUAGACACGGGGUUUCACGAUGUUGCCCAGGCUGAUUCUGAGCUCCUAGACUCAAGGGAUCCACCCACCUCUGCCUCCUAAAGUGCUAGGAUUAGUCAUGAGCCACUGUGCCAGGCCAAUCUCUUUUUAUGUACAACAAGGAAGAAAAAAAUGUAAGAAUCAAGUACUUUUUCUAAUCUUGAUUCCAUCCAAGUUAGAUUAGAAAUGAGAUCUUAUAACCCAGUAUACAACAGACUCUUUACUGACUGUCCUAUUUUCAACUUAGAGGUAGAACAGCAAUAUUUAGGGGUUCAGGCCUGGCUCUGUCCCCCAUUACACUGCGACUCAGUCAGUCAUUUCCCUGAGACUGUUUCCUUAAAUAUAAAAGAAACAAAAUAGAGAAAGUAGUGGCCUAAGACUCACAGAAAAAAAGACUCCAAAUUAAAAAUAAAAUAAAAUUAUGUGGUCCAAUCCGCCCCCUUUCCAGUCUCAUCUCUCAAUGUACUAGGUCACACAAGCCCAGUGAAAUUGGUUUACUUAAAACAUUGUCUCUGUUACUGUUUUAUGCCUUUACACAUAAAACCAUGCUGACUGCAAAUAUGUUGUACUCUACUGCCCCACCCUUUCCCUAAUGAAACCCAGAACUAUCUGCCUCCUAAUCCAAAAAUUCUAUUUCCUCUGUGAAACACAUUACCCCAUGAACUGGGAUAUCUGGCUGAAUGCUUACAGUACUUGGUUACUUACUGAUGUGGCUUAAUCCCAAACUAGAUUAUAAAUGAAUAGAGUAGGGACUAGUCCUUCUAGCUUGCAACAAAAUAGAUACAUGUUUUUGAAAAGUGUGGGAAAACCCUCUGAAGUCUUACAAGAUGAUGGUAUAGAAUCAACCAGACCAUUUGCAUCAAAUUUUAUAUUCAAGGGACUUUCUAUUGUAAUAAACACAUA
rnacentral:lncRNA from 10 species